UACGAAGGGGGCGAGCGUUGUUCGGAUUUACUGGGCGUAAAGGGCGCGCAGGCGGCUUAUUUUGUCAGGCGUGAAAGCCCCGGGCUUAACCUGGGAACUGCGUUUGAUACGGAUGGGCUAGAGUUCGGGAGAGGAGAGUGGAAUUCCCAGUGUAGAGGUGAAAUUCGUAGAUAUUGGGAAGAACACCGGUGGCGAAGGCGGUUCUCUGGACCGAUACUGACGCUGAGGCGCGAAAGCGUGGGGAGCAAACAGG
rnacentral:rRNA from 1 species